GAAAAUAUUACUCACGGGAGGAAUUAAUCAUAUACUUAAUAAAAUUGUUGGAUUACAAUAGUGAUUGUUACAGCAGGAACUUCAUCUAAUGUGAUGUAUAAUCUAAAUAUUUUCUUGAUAGAAAACUUAAACUAAAAGCAUCCAUCACAUAUUCACAUCCCCACAACUUAUCUAAAACUUAACCGAGGAACAUCAUCCAACAUGAACAUCAUCCCUACAACUUAACUAAAACUGAAAGCAUCCAGCAUCAUCAUUAUCAUCAUGAACAGGAACGUCAUUAUCGUCAUUGCAGUAUACUUUCCACACACCCAUAUAAUCCUGCAUUUAUCUUUUGAAUCUACAAACAAAAAACAAAAAACAAAUUGAACUGUUAACUGAAGAAACUCAUCUACACUAGUUGAGUACUAUGUACUUCCUCUAGUAAAUCGCUGUGAAGAAACUCACCUUGUGAGAUCAAAUAUGAAGUAGUAUUAGUAAAUGUCAAGUUCAUCCUCUCCUCUGCUUGCAUGCCACAUACCUACACUGGUACACAUGCUAAUUAGCUCAAGUAAAUAGUUCUUUGAAAUUGAAAACAAACCAUGAUAAUUUUUGUGUUGUAAAUACAAUAGAACAACAAGUGUUUUUUGUGAUACAUAGUGACAUCCAUUUUACAAAUGGCAUAGAUAAUGAUGAGUAAAUAUUUUGUGGGCGACGAACAACUCUGGACCCAGAAAAGGAGGAUUGCAAAUCGAUAGUGUGUGUACUGUUAUAGGAAAAUCUUAUUGGGCAAACCAGACUAAUUUAUAUUGAAAUUGCUAAAAUAGUAACUAAUUUAUAGUGGAAUGGCUAAAAGAGUACCUUAAUCUUAUAGGGACAACUUGUAGGUGCGUAUUUCCUUGCAGUGCAUUUCAUGAGUACGGGCUCAUAGUACUGAAAAAUAGUAGUACAUCACAGGUCAAUCCUUGUAUUUAGUUUGUUCUUUCCCUUUCCGUAUGGAAUUUGCAAAACAAAAACGUCUGUUCUAUCCAUAUUUCAUACAUAUAAUAGGCAGAAUAGAACUUGUUCCUGACUUUUAGUGCGGAAUAGUAACCAAAAAAAUACAUCUAUAGAAGCACCGUGUCCUGAACUAAUGAUAACCACAAUACCAAUAUCCUUCUUAGUUGAAAAAGGCAAACUUCUAAUACAAAAAUAUUUCCCAUGAUUUUUUAAAUAGGAUACAUGGAGAUACCAUGUUACCACAAAGGCAGUAAAAAAGAUAAUACAAUUAUGCUUUAUUUGGUCUGAGAGUGCAUACGAGUAUAGAAUAUAAUUUGUAUUGGCCACUAUACUAGGAUAACAAUACAUCAGCUCCCAACUAUAAUAGAAGUACCUAUAUUAUUUUUGGGAAGUAAGGGAAAUCAUCUAACUUACCGCCAAAUAGUGGUUGAAAUAUUCAUCAUUUGGUACUAAAAACACCUUGUUGACGAUAUAGUCAUACAUAAUAAUCAUAUCUGACAAUCAGAACUUGAAGAUCAGCUUUUAUUUCAGAAGGGAAAAGACAACAAUCUGUAAAUAUAAAUCAAUGAGUAACCAUUAAAAAGGAAAAUAAAUAAUUCUGCUCAGUUUCAAAGCCAACAUGAUAUUACAUAAGAAACCAUAUACAUACCCUGCCUGCAGUAUGUGUACUGCAAGCCAUGCAUACUAAGUUAAGAUGUACAAUUGUAAAAGCCAUGUAUAUAUAGUGCGUGAUAUUCAACUUGAAUUACAAUCGCUUAUAUGUUGUGUUAAAUUAAUUGGUGCACUUUAUUGUUGUUUAAAGCAUAUCAAUUUGCAUAGUAUAGAGAAGCUCGAUCAUUACCCCUGCUGGAAAUGUUAUUGGACGAAAACGACAUCAGAAAGGCAGGAAGGCACAUGAAUGAAUCAGCAGCAUUCGUGUGCGUACUUUGCUGAAACUGGGAACCUCCGGAAAGCGAUGAAUUGCCAUCAGUCACCAAAGAGCUAAGACCAAAUGCUUGGGGCAGAGAAAUUUGUAGUACUGACUGGAAAGC
rnacentral:lncRNA from 1 species